rnacentral:rRNA from 1 species
AAACUGGCAUGCCUCAGUAGCGGCGAGUGAAGCGGCAAGAGCUCAGAUUUGAAAUCGUGCUUUGCGGCACGAGUUGUAGAUUGCAGGUUGGAGUCUGUGUGGAAGGCGGUGUCCAAGUCCCUUGGAACAGGGCGCCCAGGAGGGUGAGAGCCCCGUGGGAUGCCGGCGGAAGCAGUGAGGCCCUUCUGACGAGUCGAGUUGUUUGGGAAU